GUGAGUGCUGGAGCUGGGAGUGAGUCUAGAAUCAGGACUCACUGGAGGUAGUGGGGGUAUUGCAUCAGCUGACCAAGGCCAGUUAACCAGGGUUUGAGGUUAGUGUGGCUGGGGUGAAAAAUGGUUGAUGGAGGAUAAUCUCACUGACCUUACCCCUGACCCUCACAGUAGGGGACCUCCAAGUUGGUCACCCUGGAGAGGAACCCAGCAAAUCUGGGGCAGCAGCAGGUGAGUGUGCCUGUGGUGGGGAGGGGCUGCAGGGAGUCAGAGGACAGGGACCGUCCCUCCCAGCUGGAGGCCUCUACAUCAAGCAAGCAGGGGACCUUUCUCCCCCAGCUCUUCCCUCCUGUGACCACAGUGCCUGAAAUGCCUCCAUUAGAGAGACCAGAAAAAGGGCCUGGGAGACCUUGGCUCACUGUGGAUUUUGGGAAUGGUGGAGCAGGGGACCCCAUGAUCUUAUUACUUGCUAAUAUCCCACCAGAAAAUUAAAAAAAAAAAACAACAAACUGGGGAUGCCCGCUGGCUUUGGACACCAGCUAGGGGAAAAAGGUGAGAAUUGGGGGAAGACAGCUGGGGGUCCUUAGUUACUCCAAGUGAAAGACCUGGGUAAGGGGAUACAGAAGACAGGAAUGGUGAGAUUUCACACGACAGACCUUGGACAGGCACCUAAAAGCGGGUGCUCAUCAUCUCUAGCACUCUGAUGGCCCAGGCUGUGUGCUGUCUCUGGGCAUGUUCCUCAGUGAUGCUGGACACUGCCAUGAAGGACUGUGUGGAUGGGAGUGAGCCUGGGGCAGGCAGGUCAGGGACCGGGAUCCUGAGGCCUGGGAGGAGAGAGCCGAGGAUUGAGCCCUUGGAUCUCAGCACUCAGCAGACCUCCUCUCAUGAGAGCCUCACAGCUGCCCCUGUGAGCUGGGGUGUCAGGCCCAUGUCACCUAUGAGUGGUGGAGGUUCCAUAGCAGCUGCCAGCCUCUGCUUCCUGAGUAGUGAUGCGUCAGGGCUGUCUGACUGCAAAGUUGUGUGAGGUUUGGGCUGAGCUGAACUUAGCCUGUCCCUCAGGUGGUGCCCAUGAGAGGAGAGGGAAAUUGCACCCAUGAAAGAUCAGACAGGUCCUAAAUGGCUGAGCGCUUUCUCUUUAUGCAAGGCCUCAAUUUCCCUGUCUGUCAUGAGAGAGGGUUGAGGCAGAAGGUUCCCAAGCCUCAGUGCCCAUGCUGUCUCCUCUGGAGCCCAGAGGCUAACACAGGUCUCAGUUCUGCUUGGUGCACAACCCCUGACCCUCAUAGCCUUGGCAGUAGCACAGCAUGAGGGCAGGUGAGGAGUGGGGCUAGCCAUGGGCCGGAGUGCCUUUCUGAUGAACCUUGGCUGUCUGCCUUCCAGGGAUAUUAGGUCAGCACUCAAAAGAGGAAGAUGAGCAAUUGGGGCCCUCACUUUGGGGGAUAUUGGGAAUGUGGAAGUCAGAGACCCUCCUGGGCAGGACGCCCCCUGGCUCCACCCUCUGCCUCUUAGAUUUACUGGGAGGGUUGGAUGCACAGAGAAGGAAGAAACCCAUCCCAGUGGAGGGUGUGGGUAGGGGUCUGCAAUCAAUGACAAAUUCCUAGAGGAGGGGCUGUUUAUAUCCAACUCUGAAAACAGGUUGAAGCUGAAUGGCAUUGAAGAAGAGGGUGCCCUUUAAGAGAAAAGCCCUAGAGACCAGCCCCUGCUCCUCCCACCCCAACAAGUCCCCUUCAGCAUCUUCUAUCCAGGCCCUGUCAGCAUCCUGUCCUUCCCUCUGGGUCCAGGAAAUCAAAGUCCUCCAAGAAAUGCAGCCACUUCUGUAACAAGAGAGAACUGUCAUCUUCAGAGUCAGGAGGAAUUUGGGGUUUGGUUCAGGUCCAUUGAAAAGCACAGUUGGAAUAAAACUUGGGGGUAGCAGAUAUUCAGAGGGUAGGAGGAGACUCUCUCUUACAGCCAGCUUCAGACAGCCUGUGGACAUGGCUCCCUGGUCAGCAGGAGAGCAUGUUGCAUGGGGAUCCCUGGGCAGGCACUGGGAGGGAGGCCUGAGGUGUGGCUCCUGCAGCGUCAUAGCUACUGCUCUUUCCUGCAGUGACAACCUGUCCGGCCCACUGAGCCUCCAUCCCAGUAGGCCAGCAACACCCUCAAGGCUAAGAAGAUCAGGCCAUGAAGAAUCUCAGGGCCAAUGAGUGCCCAGGUGGUAGGUGCAGAGUGCCUCAGGGCUCAGUGAAGUUUGGGCUGAGCACGGGCUCUGGACUUCCAACUAACUCCACUGUGACUAGCACUGUGAUUGGGGCAGCCUCACUGCUCUGGAACUUGAGGUACCAUUGUCACAGAUAUAAAACACCCUUCCAAUCUUUUUCUUUUUUAUCUUCCUCUGUAAUCACCAUGUACUACUGCUCUGUUAGUGUUUUUAUUCAAAUUAAUAAACAUAUGUUAUACAGUGUAUAUCAUUGUUCCUCAUGAUUUCUACACCAUACUGUAUGAUUCCAGUCACAUGAGGUACUUAUGGUCGUUCCAUUCAUAGAAACACAAGGUAGAAGAGUGGUUCCCAGGGG
rnacentral:lncRNA from 10 species